rnacentral:rRNA from 1 species
GAUGAACGCUGGCGGCGUGCUUAACACAUGCAAGUCGAACGAUGAAGCCCAGCUUGCUGGGUGGAUUAGUGGCGAACGGGUGAGUAACACGUGAGUAACCUGCCCUUAACUCUGGGAUAAGCCUGGGAAACUGGGUCUAAUACCGGAUAGGAGCGUCCACCGCAUGGUGGGUGUUGGAAAGAUUUAUCGGUUUUGGAUGGACUCGCGGCCUAUCAGCUUGUUGGUGAGGUAAUGGCUCACCAAGGUGACGACGGGUAGCCGGCCUGAGAGGGUGACCGGCCACACUGGGACUGAGACACGGCCCAGACUCCUACGGGAGGCAGCAGUGGGGAAUAUUGCACAAUGGGCGCAAGCCUGAUGCAGCGACGCCGCGUGAGGGAUGACGGCCUUCGGGUUGUAAACCUCUUUCAGUAGGGAAGAAGCGAAAGUGACGGUACCUGCAGAAGAAGCACCGGCUAACUACGUG